GGGUUGUGAGGUUAAGCGACUAAGCGUACACGGUGGAUGCCCUGGCAGUCAGAGGCGAUGAAGGACGUGCUAAUCUGCGAUAAGCGUCGGUAAGGUGAUAUGAACCGUUAUAACCGGCGAUUUCCGAAUGGGGAAACCCAGUGUGAUUCGUCACACUAUCAUUAACUGAAUCCAUAGGUUAAUGAGGCGAACCGGGGGAACUGAAACAUCUAAGUACCCCGAGGAAAAGAAAUCAACCGAGAUUCCCCCAGUAGCGGCGAGCGAACGGGGAGCAGCCCAGAGCCUGAAUCAGUGUGUGUGUUAGUGGAAGCGUCUGGAAAGGCGCGCGAUACAGGGUGACAGCCCCGUACACAAAAAUGCACAUGCUGUGAGCUCGAUGAGUAGGGCGGGACACGUGGUAUCCUGUCUGAAUAUGGGGGGACCAUCCUCCAAGGCUAAAUACUCCUGACUGACCGAUAGUGAACCAGUACCGUGAGGGAAAGGCGAAAAGAACCCCGGCGAGGGGAGUGAAAAAGAACCUGAAACCGUGUACGUACAAGCAGUGGGAGCACAGAGCAAUCUGUGUGACUGCGUACCUUUUGUAUAAUGGGUCAGCGACUUAUAUUCUGUAGCAAGGUUAACCGAAUAGGGGAGCCGAAGGGAAACCGAGUCUUAACUGGGCGUUAAGUUGCAGGGUAUAGACCCGAAACCCGGUGAUCUAGCCAUGGGCAGGUUGAAGGUUGGGUAACACUAACUGGAGGACCGAACCGACUAAUGUUGAAAAAUUAGCGGAUGACUUGUGGCUGGGGGUGAAAGGCCAAUCAAACCGGGAGAUAGCUGGUUCUCCCCGAAAGCUAUUUAGGUAGCGCCUCGUGAAUUCAUCUCCGGGGGUAGAGCACUGUUUCGGCAAGGGGGUCAUCCCGACUUACCAACCCGAUGCAAACUGCGAAUACCGGAGAAUGUUAUCACGGGAGACACACGGCGGGUGCUAACGUCCGUCGUGAAGAGGGAAACAACCCAGACCGCCAGCUAAGGUCCCAAAGUCAUGGUUAAGUGGGAAACGAUGUGGGAAGGCCCAGACAGCCAGGAUGUUGGCUUAGAAGCAGCCAUCAUUUAAAGAAAGCGUAAUAGCUCACUGGUCGAGUCGGCCUGCGCGGAAGAUGUAACGGGGCUAAACCAUGCACCGAAGCUGCGGCAGCGACGCUUAUGCGUUGUUGGGUAGGGGAGCGUUCUGUAAGCCUGCGAAGGUGUGCUGUGAGGCAUGCUGGAGGUAUCAGAAGUGCGAAUGCUGACAUAAGUAACGAUAAAGCGGGUGAAAAGCCCGCUCGCCGGAAGACCAAGGGUUCCUGUCCAACGUUAAUCGGGGCAGGGUGAGUCGACCCCUAAGGCGAGGCCGAAAGGCGUAGUCGAUGGGAAACAGGUUAAUAUUCCUGUACUUGGUGUUACUGCGAAGGGGGGACGGAGAAGGCUAUGUUGGCCGGGCGACGGUUGUCCCGGUUUAAGCGUGUAGGCUGGUUUUCCAGGCAAAUCCGGAAAAUCAAGGCUGAGGCGUGAUGACGAGGCACUACGGUGCUGAAGCAACAAAUGCCCUGCUUCCAGGAAAAGCCUCUAAGCAUCAGGUAACAUCAAAUCGUACCCCAAACCGACACAGGUGGUCAGGUAGAGAAUACCAAGGCGCUUGAGAGAACUCGGGUGAAGGAACUAGGCAAAAUGGUGCCGUAACUUCGGGAGAAGGCACGCUGAUAUGUAGGUGAAGUCCCUCGCGGAUGGAGCUGAAAUCAGUCGAAGAUACCAGCUGGCUGCAACUGUUUAUUAAAAACACAGCACUGUGCAAACACGAAAGUGGACGUAUACGGUGUGACGCCUGCCCGGUGCCGGAAGGUUAAUUGAUGGGGUUAGCGCAAGCGAAGCUCUUGAUCGAAGCCCCGGUAAACGGCGGCCGUAACUAUAACGGUCCUAAGGUAGCGAAAUUCCUUGUCGGGUAAGUUCCGACCUGCACGAAUGGCGUAAUGAUGGCCAGGCUGUCUCCACCCGAGACUCAGUGAAAUUGAACUCGCUGUGAAGAUGCAGUGUACCCGCGGCAAGACGGAAAGACCCCGUGAACCUUUACUAUAGCUUGACACUGAACAUUGAGCCUUGAUGUGUAGGAUAGGUGGGAGGCUUUGAAGUGUGGACGCCAGUCUGCAUGGAGCCGACCUUGAAAUACCACCCUUUAAUGUUUGAUGUUCUAACGUGGACCCGUAAUCCGGGUUGCGGACAGUGUCUGGUGGGUAGUUUGACUGGGGCGGUCUCCUCCUAAAGAGUAACGGAGGAGCACGAAGGUUGGCUAAUCCUGGUCGGACAUCAGGAGGUUAGUGCAAUGGCAUAAGCCAGCUUGACUGCGAGCGUGACGGCGCGAGCAGGUGCGAAAGCAGGUCAUAGUGAUCCGGUGGUUCUGAAUGGAAGGGCCAUCGCUCAACGGAUAAAAGGUACUCCGGGGAUAACAGGCUGAUACCGCCCAAGAGUUCAUAUCGACGGCGGUGUUUGGCACCUCGAUGUCGGCUCAUCACAUCCUGGGGCUGAAGUAGGUCCCAAGGGUAUGGCUGUUCGCCAUUUAAAGUGGUACGCGAGCUGGGUUUAGAACGUCGUGAGACAGUUCGGUCCCUAUCUGCCGUGGGCGCUGGAGAAUUGAGGGGGGCUGCUCCUAGUACGAGAGGACCGGAGUGGACGCAUCACUGGUGUUCGGGUUGUCAUGCCAAUGGCACUGCCCGGUAGCUAAAUGCGGAAGAGAUAAGUGCUGAAAGCAUCUAAGCACGAAACUUGCCCCGAGAUGAGUUCUCCCUGACUCCUUGAGAGUCCUGAAGGAACGUUGAAGACGACGACGUUGAUAGGCCGGGUGUGUAAGCGCAGCGAUGCGUUGAGCUAACCGGUACUAAUGAACCGUGAGGCUUAACCUUACAACGCCGAAG
rnacentral:rRNA from 1 species